rnacentral:rRNA from 1 species
CCCGCUGAACUUAAGCAUAUCAAUAAGCGGAGGAAAAGAAACUAACAAGGAUUCCCCUAGCAACUGCGAGUGAAGCGGGAAAAGCUCAAAUUUAAAAUCUGGCAGUCUCUGAUUGUCCGAGUUGUAAUCUAGAGAAGCAUUAUCCACACUGGACCGUGUAUAAGUCUCCUGGAAUGGAGCGUCAUAGAGGGUGAGAAUCCCGUCUUUGACACGGACUCCCAGAGUGUAUGUGAUGUGCUCUCAAAGAGUCGAGUUGUUUGGGAAUGCAGCUCCAAAUGGGUGGUAAGUUCCAUCUAAAGCUAAAUAUUGGCGAGAGACCGAUAGCGAACAAGUACCGUGAGGGAAAGAUGAAAAGAACUUUGGAAAGAGAGUUAAACAGUACGUGAAAUUGUUGAAAGGGAAACGCUUGAAGUCAGUCGCAUUGGCCAGGGAUCAGCCUUGCUUUUUUGCCUGGUGUACUUUCUGGUUAAUGGGUCAGCAUCAAUUUUGACCAGUGGAAAAAGGUCAAGGGAAUGUGGCAUCUUCGGAUGUGUUAUAGCCCUUGGUUGCAUACAUUGGUUGGGAUUGAGGAACUCAGCAUGCCGAAAGGUCGGAUUCUUUUGAAUCACGUUCAUGCUUAGGAUGCUGGCAUAAUGGCUUUAAUCGACCCGUCUUGAAACACGG